GACGAACGCUGGCGGCGUGCUUAACACAUGCAAGUCGAGCGGAAAGGCCCUUCGGGGUACUCGAGCGGCGAACGGGUGAGUAACACGUGAGCAACCUGCCCUUGGCUUCGGGAUAACCAUCGGAAACGGUGGCUAAUACCGGAUAUGACCCAUAGUCGCAUGGCUAGUGGGUGGAAAGUUUUUCGGCCAGGGAUGGGCUCGCGGCCUAUCAGCUUGUUGGUGGGGGUAAUGGCCACCAAGGCGACGACGGGUAGCCGGCCUGAGAGGGCGACCGGCCACACUGGGACUGAGACACGGCCCAGACUCCUACGGGAGGCAGCAGUGGGGAAUCUUGCGCAAUGGGCGAAAGCCUGACGCAGCGACGCCGCGUGAGGGAUGACGGCCU
rnacentral:rRNA from 1 species